CACACGUACGUACGUACAUACAUACAUACAUAAUACAUACAUACAUACAUACAUACAUACAUACAUACCUCUAUUAUAAGUGCAACACAUCUCACCUGUUAGACUUUGCUUUUGCCAUUCAAAAAACAGCCGAAAGCUAAUAAGUACCUAAUCAAAAUGAAAAAUAUCAAUGCGCCUCUAACUCUAGACUCUCAUCAAAUCAUCAACUAUAGCUAUGUCGACCAAUGUGAAUGGUAUCACACUCGUAAUUAUUAGCUGUCCAAAAUUCCGGAAAUACAUUAGCUGCCCAUGAGACAUAUCAUUUCUUGCAAGACGUUUACAAUAGUUUAUACAAGAAGCAUUGCCUCCGUGGCUAAAUCAGCAUCAAACCUAAACCACAAAGUUUAUACGCUUUUAGAAAGUAAAGAGCGGUCUUGGCAUGUUCAAAUAAAAAUUGUAAACAGGUGAAAACACAAAAACCCGAUUUUGUUUCUUUUCCCCGAGGCGGAGUAAAAUCCGUGCAUCAUUGUGAUCAGCAGCCAAAGUGGCGGAAACGGACAACUUCUUUGUGGAAUUAAUAAGAAAGAAUUCAGACCCUGCACAGUAAAUUACGACGUAUCGUAAACAAAUACGUCCAUGUAAACAACAAGACCGUAGAGAGAAAAUAAUAUGUAAAUUUAGUUGACACUGUUAUCUGUAAGUUCCUUAACAUUAAAUAUCCUUAUACUUCUCUCUAUCAAAAUGACUGCACCGCUGUUCUGCUGAGACAUCUCCGUAAGAAAAGAAGCAUUUUAUUACAAAGAACCAUUUCGUGAAAUUAUUUCGUAUUUGCUGUGAAUCUACUGACAGUGUGGAUUUUAUGUGUCCAUGAUAUAAACUCUACUGACCAAUUGAUUCUUUUCGCAUAUUUGACGAUUUGACAACAUUCACUACUCAAACUCUUCUUAUACGUGUAGUCUAGCAGGAAAAUAUUUUACUGAGAAUUUUUAUUGUAGCGAAAGGUCGUCCCACGUUCAAGUAUACUUAAUGUGCUGAAUACACGUUUACAUAAAUAUAUUUAAUCCAACAUUGCUUCCUAUGACUCCCAUUGUUUAAUUCUAUCUUCGACACUGUUUACACACCGGCCAAUGUACUGCAUGCUGUUCUAACAUACGAACG
rnacentral:lncRNA from 1 species